GGGGGUAUAGUAUAAUUGGCAAUACGCAAAGUUUGCAUCUCUGUAUUGGCAGUUCAAAUCUGCCUACCUCCA
rfam:Glomus irregulare strain DAOM-197198 mitochondrion, complete genome.